rnacentral:rRNA from 1 species
AUCGAACGCUGGCGGCAGGCCUAACACAUGCAAGUCGAACGAGUGGCGGACGGGUGAGUAAUGUCUGGGAAACUGCCUGAUGGAGGGGGCUAACUACUGGAAACGGUAGCUAAUACCGCAUACCAUCGGAUGUGCCCAGAUGGGAUUAGGUAGUUGGGGGGGUAACGGCUCACCUAGGCGACGAUCCCUAGCUGGUCUGAGAGGAUGACCGGCCACACUGGAACUGAGACACGGUCCAGACUCCUACGGGAGGCAGCAGUGGGGAAUAUUGCACAAUGGGCGCAAGUCUGAUGCAGCAAUGCCGCGUGUAUGAAGAAGGCCUUCGGGUUGUAAAGCACUUUCAGCGGGGAGGCGGUAUCUGAAGAAGAAGCACCGGCUAACUACGUGCCAGCCGCCGCGGUAAUAC